UUUUUAACCAAUUAAAAUGAUUACUUAACCCUAAAUGAGGCCUGGACCUUAUAUAUUUGAAUAAGGGGCCGAUUACAUGGACCGGACAGCUGAGCGAGAUGACUUUUAAGUUACAAUUACAUGUAGUGUGCCUGCCCGGUUAACUGGGCUGAAGUAAGCUCAUUAUAUUGAAAAGUUUUAAUACUUGAACAAUCGUUGCUGGAUAUUAUAACUAAAGAGUGUUUAUAUGCGGAAUUUUAGGGCUUCCCUACAUUGUG